rnacentral:rRNA from 1 species
GUCUAACGAGAAAGUUCUUCGGAAUGAGUAAAGUGGCGGACGGGUGAGUAACACGUAGGUAACCUGCCCUCGAGAAGGGGAUAACAUGCCGAAAGGCGUGCUAAUACCAUAUAAUGUCACGAGAACUAUGGUUUUUGUGAUCAACGGAUGGCCUCUAUUUAUAAGCUAUCGCUUGAGGAUGGGCCUGCGUACCAUUAGCUAGUUGGUAGGGUAACGGCCUACCAAGGCUGUGAUGGUUAGCUGGUCUGAGAGGACGACCAGCCACACUGGAACUGAGACACGGUCCAGACUCCUACGGGAGGCAGCAGUGGGGAAUCUUGGACAAUGGGGGAAACUCUGAUCCAGCAACGCCGUGUGAGCGAUGAAGGUCUUCGGAUUGUAAAGCUCUGUCACUUGGGAAGAAACUCGUAAGCAUCAGAUCCUUACGAUUGACGGUACCGAGAGAGGAAGCACCGGCUAACUCUGUGCCAGCAGCCGCGGUAAUACAGAGGGUGCAAGCGUUAUUCGAAAUUAUUGGGCGUAAAGCGCGAGCAGGCGGCGAUAUAAGUCUUGUGUGAAAUCUUCGGGCUCAACCCGAAAAAGUCAUGAGAAACUGCAUUGCUAGAGUAGAUGAGAGGAGAGCGGAAUUCCCAGUGUAGUGGUGAAAUACGUAGAUAUUGGGAGGAACACCGGUGGCGAAAGCGGCUCUCUGGCAUCUCACUGACGCUCAUUCGCGAAAGCG